UUUUACAUUUAUUAAAGGUAGGGAAAUACAGGCUCUGUAGAGUGAGUUCGGGCCAAGUACACGUAGGAAAAAGGGGGGAAAAUACACCCUACAGCAUAGGGUGGGAUACUGUGAAGACACACUAGAGUGAGCACUGAAGGGUUACAGUCUCUUCUUUGUAUUUUCCACACUGGCCUCAUGUCCAGGUCAUCCUAUCAAAAACCUGCUUGAGUUCUCGCGAGAAGUCCACAUGCAGGGCUUUGGGAGUGGUUCUGCGCAUGUGUCCCGGGAUUUUGUCGCGUACUUUCUCAGCCAUUCCUGCCUUCCUGCCUCAGAGGGCUGAGUGAUCACCUCAGCUGAGUUGGGGGAUCCUUCCUUCUAUCCUUUGCUUUCACUCCAGAGAAAGAAGAGGACGAAAAGAAGUUUUCAAAGACAAUCCCUUUCCAAAUCCUAAAGAAGAUAAUUAACAUUGGGACACAUGGAAUCUGCUAAGCACUGAACUGGCCAGCUUCCACGAAUUAUCUGAUAAGCAUCUUUUGAGGCCAUCACCAGGUGAAGAAUCAAGAGCUGAACAUACAAAACGUAUUAAGCAGUUCCUACAAUUGUGGAUCGAACUCAGGACCUUGCGUUUGUGAGACAGACAUGGCACCACUGAGCUAAAUCCCCAGCCCACAGUGGACCCUUUUGACUUAUGAAUUUAAUUGGUUCUCAAGGACUGGUUGUAACUAAGUCAAUGCAGGCAAACAUCUCAGCUGCCCAUUAUCAAAAUCCCUGAUUGAGUGAUUUUUCUCUUCAGAGAAGAAGGAGAGUGUAUCAAAUGAGUGGUCAAAAGGACAAGCUUUGGAGUUGGAAAGAUCACUCUGGCAGCAAUUUGAUGAAGUGAAUUGAAUGCAAGGCUGGAAGAGAGAAAAGAAGUUGCAAUAAAAUUCUGACAAUGAAUGAUGGAGACCUUCGCUAAUGGGAAAAGAGAGGCAGAGAUGGUUCAAGAGAAAAAGGGGAAUGGAUAGAACUGAGUAAGUUCAUGCCAGGUGAUCAUGAUGCCAUCGUACAAGAACCAAAACAAGAAGCAAAACAAGAGAACAGGAUGGAUGGCAUCUUUUCUUCUUCCUUACUUUCUGUUUUUAUGAUGAUAUUGUCUUGUCUGUUUUAUUUUAUUUUUAUCUCUUUUUCUCCCUGAGCAGUCUUUAUUUUCUGCACUCUGUAUAUAAAAGAUUAAUGUUUGGAAAGAACAUGAUUUGGAUUGACAUAAAUCUGGAUUGAAAUGAUAA